ACCCUCGUAGCUUAACCGGCAGAGCAGCGGUCUUUUAAGCCGCGUGGUGGAAGUUCGAUCCUUCCCGGGGGUA
rnacentral:tRNA from 1 species